rnacentral:rRNA from 1 species
GCCACGGCUAACUACGUGCCAGCAGCCGCGGUAAUACGUAGGUGGCAAGCGUUAUCCGGAAUUAUUGGGCGUAAAGCGCGCGCAGGUGGUCUAUUAAGUCUGAUGUGAAAUCCCACGGCUCAACCGUGGAGGGUCAUUGGAAACUGGGAGACUUGAGUACAGAAGAGGAAAGUGGAAUUCCAGGUGUAGCGGUGAAAUGCGUAGAGAUAUGGAGGAACACCAGUGGCGAAGGCGACUUUCUGGUCUGUAACUGACACUGAGGCGCGAAAGCGUGGGGAGCAAACAGGAUUAGAUACCCUGGUAGUCCACGCCGUAAACGA